rnacentral:lncRNA from 10 species
CGUGUGUGUGUGAUGUUGUCACUAAGAAAACCUGUAUUGAGCUGGGCACAGUGGCUCACGCCUGCAGUCCUAACUACUGGGAGGCUGAGACGGUUGAACCCAGGAGUUUGAAGCUGCAGUGAGCUACAACUGUGCCACUACACUCUGGCCUGGGUGACAGAGCAAGAUCCCGUCUCUUACAACAAAAAUAAAGCCACUAUUGAUGGAGAAACGCUCCCAAUAAAUAAUAAAAUGCAGCAUAUAAACUAUAUACAUUGUGAUCUUAAUUAUACUUUUAUUAAAAUAUACAUACUUAUGCACAGAGUGAAUAGAAAAAAUAUUGGAAGGAAACCAAAAUAUUGACAGCAGUUAUCUCUGAUAGAUAGAAUGACAGAUGAUGUUUAUUUUCUUCUUACACUUUUUCCUAGAUUAGUUCUGCAUUUUCCGGCAUUCAUAUGUAUUGUUUCCCAGCCAUCCUGUCAAGCGCUGGGAUUGUUCUGAUCUCUGGGAGCCUCCAGGGCUGACUCCAGUAUGGCUAAUCUAAAGUGAGCUUGUAAUCUCCAAAAUCCUGAUGGUGGCUUUUCUAUUAGGCAGACUAAUAGAUUCAGAUAUAGGUCCCAACAGUUUGUGUUUUCCUUACUGUCCCAGUUUUAUAUCAUUAUUCUUAGUACUAAACAGAGUGACAACAGGGAGUGACAUUUGUUGAGGACCUACGAUGUGUCAGGGUCCAUGCUGGGGACUUCACAUGAGGGCUCCAUGAAGCCCCCUUGGACACUCAGGUCCUUGUGUCAUCCCCACUUCCCGCCCGCCACUGACGCUGGGGUGAACCUGCAACUCACUGUGACUAAGAGAAUGCAGUGGAAACCAUGCUCUACCCAGUCCAGGCUAAAGCUUUAAGGAGGCCUGGAAGUUACCACACAGCCCAGCAAUUCUACUCCUAGGAAUCUCCCUCAAGAAAACUGAAAACAUGGCUGCGUGCAGUGGACUCAGGUUGGAAAUUGACUUCUUG